AGUGAACGCUGGCGAUAGGCCUAACACAUGCAAGUCGAACGGCAGCACAGUAAGAGCUUGCUCUUACGGGUGGCGAGUGGCGGACGGGUGAGGAAUACAUCGGAAUCUACUUUUUCGUGGGGGAUAACGUAGGGAAACUUACGCUAAUACCGCAUACGACCUACGGGUGAAAGCAGGGGAUCUUCGGACCUUGCGCGAUUGAAUGAGCCGAUGUCGGAUUAGCUAGUUGGCGGGGUAAAGGCCCACCAAGGCGACGAUCCGUAGCUGGUCUGAGAGGAUGAUCAGCCACACUGGAACUGAGACACGGUCCAGACUCCUACGGGAGGCAGCAGUGGGGAAUAUUGGGCAAUGGGCGCAAGCCUGAUCCAGCCAUACCGCGUGGGUGAAGAAGGCCUUCGGGUUGUAAAGCCCUUUUGUUGGGAAAGAAAAGCAGCAGGUUAAUACCCCGCUGUUCUGACGGUACCCAAAGAAUAAGCACCGGCUAACUUCGUG
rnacentral:rRNA from 1 species